rnacentral:rRNA from 1 species
GACGAACGCUGGCGGCGUGCCUAACACAUGCAAGUCGAACGGAAAGGCCCUGCUUUUGUGGGGUGCCCGAUUGGCGAACGGGUGAGAUACACGCGUGUAUCCUGCCCAUGACCUUGGGAUAACUUCUGGUAACUGGGGCUAACACCGGAUAGGAGCUCUUGCUCCAUGGUGUGGGCUGGAAAGUUUCGGCGGUUGGGGUUGGACUCGCGGCUUAUCAGCUUGUUGGUGGGGUAGUGGCUUACCAAAGCUUCGACGGGUAGCCGGCCUGGGAGGGUGGCCGGCCACAUUAGGACGGAGAUACGGCCCAGACUCGAACGGGAGGCAGCGGUGGAGAAUAUUACACAGUGGGCGGGGGCCAGGUGCGACAACGCCGCGUGCGGGAAGUCAUGCUUCGGGUUGGGAACCAAUGUCGCCUGAGACGGGGCGUUAGUGACGGUAAUGGGUGAAUAAGCACCGGCUAACUACGUG